UUUUAAAACGAGCUAACCUCUAAAUACUCAAAAUGCACCAGAUCUUUGAAGUCAAGCAGGGUCAGCCCUGAUUAGUACUUGGAUGGGAUACCACAAAGGAACCCCAAGUGCUGUAGGCU
rnacentral:rRNA from 1 species